rnacentral:lncRNA from 1 species
CCAAGUUACCAACACCGAGUUUUCCGGUGGAUUUUUGUUCAGCAAAGAAGCUAGCAAGCGAGAAAAACAGAGAGAAAGAGGGUCGGAGGAGAAAGCAGGAUACUAAAAGGAGUGGGAUAGAGAGGAGGGACAACGAUGCCGCUCUCUGGGCUGUGACACUCUCCGAGACCGAGUGCUUCAUCUAUUCUUCCUUGCUAGACUGGAAGACACGAGUUAGAUGGAGCAUCGACCUUCUCCGCUCCCUCUCAUAGAUGCGUCACUUUCGUCUAUCUCCCGUCUCGGUCAUAAGUCCUAGUUCUUUGUCGACUAGGACCCCUUCAUUUUUCUUCUCCUCUCUGUUGUCUCCUCCCCCUGGUUUUUCUCCCUCUUCUCGUCUUCCUGCAGCUGAAGGUUCCUCAGUUGCCGACUCCUGUCGACGAUCCUUACUUUCCAACCCUCUCGUGCAUGUGGACGUUUCCACAGGAGGUCGAGAUGCAGUCCACAUGGUGUUUCAGGUGCGGCCGAGAACGUCGGAAGCGACGCUUCAAAGAUUUCUCUUUCGUAACUUGCGGUAGCUAUGGCGCGUAUCUUUUUGUCCCGCCUCGAGAGUUCUGUACUACCGUGAGGUCCUGUAACUGUUCAAAGAUAUGUGCUCAGACUCAAGUAGUGGUAUAUGGACUAGACAGUGUACCCUUUUUAUACGUAAUGAUCUGGUCCCGAAUCGUGAGGUCACGGAAUCGUUACUUGGGGGUCUUAUUUUGGUUUUUCCCGUCUCCUGUUAGUCUUCAUGUUUGCCGUGUCUCCUCUCUUUCUCUCCUUUUAUUCCUAUUCUUCCACUCGACCUUCCAGUUAAAGAGCUUCCUGCGGUCUUCUUUUCGUAGAAGCUAUUUUCGGGGUAACAUGCAACUGCGGCACAGCCCAGAAAAACCAAAGUGCCCCUUAACUCGAC